CAUGAAAUACGAAAAUACAUGCUCUUCUGAGAAGCAUUAUCUUCAUUCCAGACAACAUAUUCGGACAUUUAAACAUAUCAACAACUUGCAAGGAUAAGAAAUCAAACAGUAGGGAUUGUAGGUGAAGAGCCCUCUCUUUCACCCCUUUCACCGACACUGUUAUCUGCAAACUUUAAGCUUGCUGAGUGGUAACAAUAUGCCCCGAGGGAGACGAUUUAGAGAUGUGGAGUUCCAGCAUUCUCAGGUGGGAUCUACUUCUGAGCAGUCCCUGCAGUCCCAGUAGCCAUGUGAUCACCAGCAGCACGAGUCAGGAUCUCAGCGCGAGCCUCAUGCUGAUUGUCCGGAGGAUGAGCUCCGGAUCCAGGGUAAUUCGAUUUAAAGUUCAUAUUUUAUGUUCAUAUUUGUCUUCAACUUUUUAAGACAUUUUAUUUAAUUUGAAUAGAUGGACAAGGGACAGUGAGGACGAGACGGGGACCCACUCAAGCAAAGGAUGUGUGGAAGCUUCCUCCGGGUGAGAAGAUCAUCAUCCGAUGCAACGAAUUGGGGCAGCCCAUCA